CUACGGGUCGCUCCAGUUAGGAAUAAUCUACAAUGCGCGCAAGCGUGAUAGUUUGAGUCAGAGUGCGUUUCAAUUUGGAAUGCUUUUGUGAAAUGCAAAAAGUUUCACGAAUAAGGACUGGGUAAGACGAGUGCCAGCCGCCGCGGUAAUACUCGCGGUCCAAGUCGCAGCCAUUUUUAUUGGGUCUAAAACAUCCGUAGCUUGCUAUUAUUAAGUUCCUUGUGAAAUCCUAUAUCUAAAAUAUAGGGCGGGCAGGGAAUACUGAUUGGCUAGAGACCGGAAGACGCAGCGAGUACGUUCAAAGUAGCGGUCAAAUGUGUUAAUCUUGGACGGACUCACAACAGCGAAGGCACGCUGCGAGGACGGUUCUGACAGUAAGGGAUGAAAGCUGGGGGCGCAAAACGGAUUAGAUACCCGCGUAGUC
rnacentral:rRNA from 1 species